UACGUAGGCAGCGAGCGUUGUUCGGAGUUACUGGGCGUAAAGGGUGUGUAGGCGGUUUGGGAAGUCUGGUGUGAAAUCUCCCGGCUCAACUGGGAGGGUGCGCCGGAAACUGCCGGACUAGAGUGCGGGAGAGGAGAGUGGAAUUCCUGGUGUAGCGGUGAAAUGCGUAGAUAUCAGGAGGAACACCUGUGGCGAAAGCGGCGCACUGGACCACAACUGACGCUGAGGCGCGAAAGCUAGGGGAGCAAACAGG
rnacentral:rRNA from 1 species